CUAUAGUUUAAUUAGGAACAGUGGUAUUUUGCAAAUAUAUUAUUGGCUAAUACAUUAAGCUAGUUCUGGCUAUGUUAUCGGCCGCUGUCGUAUAUAUUCACUACUAAACAAAUGGCGGGAAGGUCUUUCCAGGGUCUUCGUCUGGGGCAGAUUGUGACAUCCUCUCAAUCCAUGCAAGAAUUACAAAAGCAACAGAUCAACAAACUCAAAUAACAAAUAAUAUCUGAAGGAUUUAAGAAUAAACCAUUUACG